rnacentral:rRNA from 1 species
CAGUCGCCGCGGUAAUACGAAGGGGGCUAGCGUUGCUCGGAAUUACUGGGCGUAAAGGGAGCGUAGGCGGGUCGUUUAGUCAGAGGUGAAAUCCCGGGGCUCAACCUCGGAACUGCCUUUGAUACUGGCGACCUUGAGUAUGGGAGAGGUGAGUGGAACUCCGAGUGUAGAGGUGAAAUUCGUAGAUAUUCGGAAGAACACCAGUGGCGAAAGCGACUCACUGGCCCAUUACUGACGCUGAGGCUCGAAAGCGUGGGGAGCAAACAGGAUUAGAUACCCCUGAGUCCCUGUCUCUUAUACA